rnacentral:rRNA from 1 species
AGUGAACGCCGGCGGUAGGCCUAACACAUGCAAGUUGAACGGCAGCACAGGAGAGCUUGCUCUCUGGGUGGCGAGUGGCGGACGGGUGAGGCAUACAUCGGAAUCUACUCUGUCGUGGGGGAUAACGUAGGGAAACUUACGCUAAUACCGCAUACGACCUACGGGUGAAAGCAGGGGACCUUCGGGCCUUGCGCGAUGGAAUGAGUCGCGGUCGGGUUAGCUAGUUGGCGGGGUAAAGUCCCACCAAGGCGACGAUCCGUAGCGGGUCUGAGGGGAUGAUCAGCCACACUGGAACUGAGGCACGGUCCAGACUCCUACGGGAGGCAGCAGUGGGGAAUAUUGGACAAUGGGCGCAAGCCUGAUCCAGCCAUACCGCGUGGGUGAAGAAGGCCUUCGGGUUGGAAAGCCCUUUUGUUGGGAAAGAAAUCCAGCUGGCUAAUACCCGGUUGGGAUGACGGUACCCAAAGAAUAAGCACCGGCUAACUUCGUGCCAGCCGCCGCCGUAA